rnacentral:rRNA from 1 species
CGCGCAGGCGGCCAAGUCAGUCGAAUGUGAAAGCCCCCGGCUCAACUGGGGAAGGUCGUUCGAUACUGCCUGGCUCGAAGAUAGGAGAGGGAAGUGGAAUUUCAGGUGUAGUGGUGAAAUGCGUAGAUAUCUGAAGGAACACCAGUGGCGAAGGCGACUUUCUGGCCUAUUCUUGACGCUGAGGCGCGAAAGCUAGGGGAGCGAACG